AAUGGCAUUACUGAGUCAUGUGGCAUUUAACCUUUUGAUGAACUGCCAAGAUGUUUUCCAAAGCAGUUGUGCCAUCUUAUAUUCCCAACAGUAGU
rnacentral:pre_miRNA from 1 species